rnacentral:rRNA from 1 species
CAGUAGCCGCGGUAAUACGAAGGGGGCUAGCGUUGCUCGGAAUUACUGGGCGUAAAGGGCGCGUAGGCGGACAGUUCAGUCGGGGGUGAAAGCCCGGGGCUCAACCUCGGAAUUGCCUUCGAUACUGGCUGUCUUGAGUAUGAGAGAGGUGUGUGGAACUCCGAGUGUAGAGGUGAAAUUCGUAGAUAUUCGGAGGAACACCAGUGGCGAUGGCGACACACUGGCUCAUUACUGACGCUGAGGCGCGAAAGCGUGGGGAGCAAACAGGAUUAGAUACCCCAGUAGUCCCUGUCUCUUAUAC